CUCUGACACCAACAGACAGACAGGUACCUUAUACACAGCAAGAUUCAAAUCUCAUACAAUUCCAGAGACAAACACGAUGGGGAUCGGGCUCUGGAAGGCAACUCUUCUGCUUCUCUGCCUCUCCCUCUUUUGCCAUACAGGGGAGAGUAAAUUAUCUGAAAACAGCUUAUCGAAGAUUAUUGAGAACAUGUACCAACGGUUUGACCAAAACGCCUUGAUCAACCAGAUAAGAAUUGAAAACAACAAGGAAACAAGAAGGGGGAAAAAAAUGGCUGCAGGCCAACAGUACAGUAUUGCCCUCCAGCUCUCUGAAGAACGCUGUGAUACGGGAGAAAUGGACGAUUCCACCUUAAAAACCCUCAACGGUCUCGGCAAGACAUUAGCGAACGAGGCUGUGUUCCAGAGUGAUAGAGUAGUAGCAGCCAUUCCCAAACACGUGUACAAUAAUAAUAGGAAUUAUACACAGCACGCUGAAUAUCGAGUUAUCACAAAAAUCCCAACUAAGUCCAAUUACGGAUGUCUGAUUGUCUAUACUCGCUUCAGCCCGUGUACAUCAAAGUGUGCUGACCCAAAUAGGCCUAGCAAUAUCAUAAGGCCACUCCGUGACUUAAAGCAGAAAGCUGAGUAUAAGGCUCUUGUUUAUAGUAAGAUAUUCCAUAUGGACAAAAAACAUUCAAGCAUACAAAAUAUUUACAAUAGUCUGAAAGAAAUACAAAACGCCAACGUAUAUUGCUGUUCUGAAAAAACACCUGUCAACUGCACAUGGUUUGACCCAAAUGGAGGUGUAAACCAGACUUGCAUGUCUGUGUAACUCCCAACUUCUAUAACAUUCCACUCUCCUUCUGUCUGAUUAUAAAUGUGUUGCUGUGUCCUGACAGCUCAACAGUGUGAUUGUGCUCAUCAUGUCACAAACAGUGCUUUUCAAUAAUGGGGAACUACUUGUGCAAAACAGGACUCAAUUUAAAAAAAUGUCUCUGAUAAAAAAACUUUCCUUCAGAUUUGUGUUCAUCUGCUGAUACUGUUAAUUGCAAUUCAUUUGUGGAUGAAAUUUUUGUCAGGUAAAAAGCGCCUGACCUGCUUACAAUCAUGUCAUAUCC